GUUUCCUGAGAUGAAAAAAAUUCAAUCAUUUCAUUUGAAACUACUGAACUCUCGUUAUUUCGUUCGCAAACUGUCAGAAAAGAAGACAGCGACGGAUCAAAUUUUUCAAACAAAAAAUCAACCAUCUAACUAUUCGAGGACAUCAAUUUCUGAUUAUUUGUGCCGUUUUCUGACAAUAUUGAAAAUUAAUUGGCGUUCUUUAGUUUCUUUCUUCUGCACUCAAACAAACGUAGCAAAAUUGGUUAUUGCAGUGACAUUGAAGUUCCUAAUGUAUAGAGUAUAAUUGCAAUCGAAUUGUACCUCUCCUUUGGUGAUAUAUUCUUCGAUAGCUUCAACAGCAUCCUUGAACGUAGUGGACUUGCUGGACUUGACAAGGGUUUCCUUGAACUCUUGAUAAGGUUUGAGGCUUGUCUCUUCUAUCCAAGCACUGGAAAAUAUAUUUUGCAUCACUCGUUUGUUCGGAUGUGUUAUUCUAAUGCUUUUUUUUUUAGUAACGCACUUGUUGAAAAAGCACUUACUAGUUGUUGGAUCCAAAGAAGAAUAUGCAUUGCAUUGGGCCUUUUUUUGUGUUCGGCUUCUUCAAGUCUUUUGCGUGUGAAACCUUAGGACCCCAGGCGUUGUAUUAGUUUUGUGCUCAUUUGAAAAAUCUCAAUUCGAGUUGUUCAACACUUGCUUACAAAGUGAAAAUAAACAGCAUUGCAAUGCUACCGAACUGCUCUUAAUUUUGCAAAAUAAUCUUUGAAUUUUACAUAAAAAGUUAAACUCAAAAAAAUUGUUGCUUCGUUUAGUACUCUACAUUUAAGUAAUGAACAAAAUUUAAAUCAUUUCAAAAAUUAUGCAAAGAAUUUUUUGCAUCAAUACUUUAUUAGGCCCACAGAAAAUCAGUCCAAAGAGAAUGAGAAAUUCUCAACAUGUUUUAUAUCAAAUAUAAGUUUUCAGUUAAAACACAACUUUCUUUUUUCUUUUCAUGAAAAAGCAUCCAUGAGCAUUCGUGUUCAAUAAUAAUACAUGAUGAAUUUGAGACUUUAAAAAUGUCAUCUAUUUUCCGGAGCGGCUUCUCUUCAAUAUUUAACUUCCCAAUUGGAUCAUUUAGAAAUAUAAUUGUCUCGAGUAUAUCGAAUGCUCACACAAUUCAAUUCAUUCUAUUUCAUCAAAAUAUUCAACCUACAAAUUGAAAAGCGUUAGACUUCACUUCGAUAAGCAUUAUAUAUUGACAACUUUGUCUAAUAAAUACUCAACAUCCUAAAA